AUGGCCUGUCUCAUUCUCAUCGGAAAUCGCCGCGUCCGCAGCAUCGUCAUUCUUGUUCAUCUUCUUGUAGUCGAUGAAGAGCUGAUCCUCCGUGUCAUUCCCGUACGCCGACCGGUAGAACGCCACGGUGUCGCCGGCGCGGAGGCCCGUCUCCUUGACGAAGCGGCUCCAGCCCUUGGUGAGCACGUAGCUCUGGCUGCUGUUCCAGUACGAGUACCGGAAGCGCCACACCUUCCCUUCGCCGUCCUCGAAGUUGAGCAGCACGCCCUUGCCGUUGCUGCCGGUGGCCGCCGCAGUGGUCGGAGGGAAGUGCUUCUCGGCCUGCUGCUUCGGCACCACGAGGCGGUUGAGCUUGCCGACGUCGCUCGGGGUCACGGCCUUCUCGAAGAGGAGCUCUCGUGCCCACGCCGGCGUCGGCUGCGCGCGCCCGCGGCCGCGGCGCAGGCCCUGACGGAGCUCGUCGUCGUAGGUGUGCUUCCGGAGCAUGUCGACGAUCUCGGCCUUGGAGUGGUCGGCAAGGAAGCCGAGCUCUGGAUCCAGCUCGCUCCUGGACGACGACGAGCCGGCCUCCUCCGCGGCCGUCGGUCGCUGGUGGUUGAUGACGGCGUCCGGGCCGCGGAAGCGGAGCGCGGCCACGUCGUAGGCGCGCACGGCGGCGUCCUCGUCGGGGAACGUUCCGAGCCACACCCGCGAGUGCUUCUCGUAGAUCUGCGCUCCCCACCGCCCGUUGGGCUGCGGCACGACGCCCUUGAACCGCGACGAUGGAGCCGCCCGGGGCGGCGCCAGCACCGGCGACGACGACGGCUCCGCCGCGUCCUCGGCCCCCGAUUCCGCGGAGGAGUACUCCAUGUCGUUGUCGUCCUCCAUCCCGUGGUUUGUCGGCUUGCCAGAUGCCAUCGUGGGGAUUAUUGUACCUGCAUAGUUGGUGAUUUCUUGUGUAUAUAUUGA
rnacentral:rRNA from 1 species